rnacentral:lncRNA from 1 species
GUGCCUCCCAGUUACCGCCCAGUUACCGCCCAGUGCCUCCCAGUACAUCCCAGUUACCGCCCAGUUACCGCCCAGUGCAUCCCAGUACAUCCCAGUUACCGCCCAGUUACCGCCCAGUGCCUCCCAGUACAUCCCAGUUACCGCCCAGUUACUUCCCAGUACAUCCCAGUACAUCCCAGUUACCGCCCAGUUACCUCCCAGUACCUCCAAAUAGAUCCCAGUUACCACCCAGUUACCUCCCAGUGCCUCCCAGUUACCUCCCAGUACAUCCCAGUACAUCCCAGUUACCUCCCAAUUACCUCCCAGUACAUCCCAGUACCUCCCAGUAGCUCUCCAUACCUCCCAGUUACCCCCAGUUACCUCCCAGUUAUCACCCAGUAGCUCCCAGUAGCUCCCAGUUACCUCCUAGUGCCUCCCAGUUACCCUGAGUAGCUCCCAGUUACCUCCCAGUUACCUCCCAGUGCCACCCAGUAACCCCCAAACCCCCACCAGUGCCUUCCAGUAACUCCCAGUUACCCCCACAGGUGCCUGCAGGACAACGACUGGGAUUACGGCCGGGCCGGGCAGGUCUUCACCCAGCUCAAGGUGGGAC